rnacentral:ncRNA from 1 species
GAUUGUGCAGGGUACUGUCCAACGGCUUGAUAAACAGGCUGUUAUUAUUGAGAGUUACAUCACCGGUCGCCUUGACCAGCUCACCGUCCAGCGGAAUAUCCAGAUGUAAGCGAGCGCUCACGUCGCCAUCAAGCUGGAGCUCAUCAAGCGUGGCGCCUAAAGACUUACUAAGCGGUGUCUCUUUGAAAUACGGGCCGACCGCCUUCCCCGGGCCAUUGAUAUCUGCGCUUAUCAGCAGCUUCUCUUUGGCGUAAUCAGGAAUAGCGGCAUCAAGAUUACUGGCGGUUACGCCACCCAGAGUGGCUUUAUCCGCCUUCAUCCACAGCCCGGCAUUGAUAAAGUUAAGCUCGAUAUCCUGAUGCGUUAACGCUGGCCAGUCAGGCUGGAAGGCAAAGGUCGCGUCUUUUAGCGG